ensembl:lncRNA
ACAUGAGAAUGUUCUGGAACCCUGUUCCCCUGCGGGUAGCUGGGAGGUUUUCCAGCCUUCCAGAGAAGUAUGGGGUUGAGCCUGUGUUCCACUUGCGUGACCUUUGUGUCUGGGGGAAGGGCUGAGGAAGGUGGCCCCCACAUAGCCUCACCAAGGCCUGUAUUCUGAGGUCAUAACUUAGUACUCAGGUCCCAAGGUAGGAGAGUGAAGGCCAAUGGCAGUGUCAGCAGCAGGAGUGUGAUGUUAUUGUGGAGAUGAGGCUGCACUAUCUUCAGAGCUCCUGGCCCUGGACGUCCUGUAACAGGCAGGUCCACCACAGCAGAGGCCACCCGGAGGGAGGUCCAUGUCUAAAAAGGACACGGGCUGAUCUGCCCUACCCUAAAAGAAGUACAUGUAGAAAGUACUACUGAUGCCUGAAAAACCUGGAAAAAGAAAAGUCCAUCCUUCCUUGGAGUGGCUAAUUGACACAGCUCUAACCAAUGAGAUGGAAGUGAAAAUCUGUUGGAGAGUUUUUGAAAACUUUGCUUUCAUCAUUAAAGAAGACGCACAUCUUUCCUUUUGUGGACACAGGCCUGAUUGUUGGAGCUUCAGCAACUAUCUGAUAAUAAUGAGAGAAAGGCCAAGCCCAGGGAAUUACAGGGACAUUGGCCCUGCCAUUAUUGAGUAACUAAACCAACUCCAGCAACUACCCAAGAAACUUCCUGUUGUGAGAGAAUAAGCAAACUCAUAUCUAUUCUAACCCUGUACUUAGCUUCUCUGUUACUUGCAGCUGAAUAAAUAUAGCAUUUUUAAAAGUUACCUAACAUAAUCAUAAAUGCUUCAUCCCACAGAGAUGACAUGUAGGUCUGACAAUAGCGGGAAUAAAUACUGAUAAUAUUUUAAUGGAUAAUGACUUGAUUCUAUUAUUUAGUACUUUUUAGACUUACUAAUAGAUAAUUUUUAGAUAUUAAUGGAAAAACCUCUACUUGAGUCAAAUCAGUAACUUCAAAGAACCAGAAAUAAAUUGUUGGCCAAUGCAGGCUGGUCUAGGAAACACUGCCAAGUAUUUAAAAAAGAAAAAAUUUCCCACUUUUAUGUUUAACCCAACCCCUACUCGUCUUAAAAACUUUAUUUUUGUAAUAAAAUAUAUUUUUCUGCCUUUGUUUACACUAGACUUGGUUUACUUAUUCUCUCAUCAUUGUUUUUCCUUGGGUCGUUGACUUUUGUUCCUUUCAGUUUUGAAAUGUCAAGGUUCUGUAUCACUGCAGAAACAAAAACCUUUGUUUUUAAAGUAUAAAAUGCUUCCCUGAGAGGGGCUUUCCAAAAGAAUUGAAUGGUGCAGUCAGGGGUGCAAAUUAUAGGGAAACUCCUUAACUUCUACUGUUCCCCCAAACAGCAGCCAGCUUCCAGAAAGCAUUGACUGCAGACUCAGUAGAGGACUAUGCACAUAUUCUGACUUCUGGAGACAUUUACAGUAGGUCAGAAGGCUGAGUAGUUAACAGCAUUCAUGUAUAAUUAUGAAGAAUUUGAGAUGCUUAAGUGAGAGCCAGGAAAAUAAAAGAGAACAUAAGAGAGAGUGAGGUCCAGUUGUCAGCCAGUCUUGACAAAAGCUUCGAUCAUCAGAGAAAGUCUACAAUUCUGUCUAAAACAUGUUAAUUAAAUUACAAAAACUGUUCCCAAUGUAAUUCCUGUAAUACUAGGAAACACAUGAAAAAUUUUGUAAUUUCAAGUAUUUUAGCCCCAUUUAUAGUAUGAACACACGAGAGAUAUUCAUAUAUAUUUAAUAUUUUAAAGAUAUAUAUGAAUUCUGCAAAGUACUAUCCAGAUUUACAAAGAUUUUGCAAAGCACCAUCAAUGUAAACAUUGUCUUUAGGAUGAAAAAGCAAACCACAUUAAAUGGAUACAUCAAUUCUCACAGAGCUGAAUUUCAGAAAGAGUAAAACUAUGAGAGGUGAGAAUUUUAGUCUAGAGGGAAAAUGUUAGUUCUUAUUGUUCUACCAGAGAGAUCUAAGCUCAGAUUUCUCAUUUCAAAUGUGAGAAAUGUGAGCUCUAGUGGAGGCGGGGGGCUGUGGUAGGGGAGAAGAUGCUAGGAAAAAAAUGCCAAGAGAAUUGUGAGAAAAGAAAGAUCACAACUUGGCUAAGAUUUGUAACAAAUUGAGGACUUGAGUAUCUUCAGCAAAUUGUAAGUAUUUCGUGAAUAGUUUUACUCAUCCCAGUUUAUUUGAAGAUGAAUGGGACCUGCCUUUAGCAAUAUUGUGAAAUAGGUGAAGAGUCAUUAUAGCUUAUGGAAAAGCUCCCAGGAACAUUAGGAACAUGAGUUUAGGUUCUAACUUUGCAAUGAAUAUGUGAUGUGACAGGGGCACAUUCUCUAAACUUGCAAUAUGCUCUUUUCCAAAAUUAGCAUUGAAGGAGGAUUGAUCUCCCAUGAAAUAUCUGAGCAGCGUGAAAUAUCACAGAGUUGUAUUUCUUUGGAAUUAUCCAGUUGAGUUGGGAGCAGGGCUAGGAUGGGGAGAACUUUUCCCAUUUUAGCAGAGUGGCCUCAGGGCCUUGGCUGGCACAACGCAACCUCGGGGGCAGAGUGAGAAGCAACACUAGAGGCAGGAGCUGGCACCUGCUACCCACUGACAAGGUUUAUACUCCUUAAUAACAGCCCUCUAGGCAAAGGGGCUGCAAGAGGAGUGAGGGUAAAAACCACCAAGGCCACAAAGACCACGCAGCGGCUGAAAGUACAGAAGCACCUCCACUUUCAAAUCUGCAGGAUGACAGAUGGUGAAAGUCAAGUGUUCAUUUAGCCAUUGACCCUUAGCUUCCUGCCCAUUCCUACAUUCAUGAUGACAUGGACACACUAAUAAGCACUAUUAACCCAGUCAAGUCUGGUAAGUGAUGGAGCAGUGGGUAAGAAGAGGUUAAUGAUUAUGAAGUGACCAAAAUGUGAGAUAAUAUAAUAAAGUGGGAGAGACAGAGAGAGAGAGAAAACCUGCUGGAAAUGCAAAUGGAAUGAACCUUAAAACAGCGAAAAGAAUUUUGAAGACUGAAAAUCUAUCACACAGCAAAUCAAAUUGUAUCUUGUGCAAUGUAAUCAACAAUAAUCACACGCUUUUUACUUACAAAUAAAUACAGUCAGGAACAAUCUUUUAAAACCUAACCUAAUCUUAAAGAUAGGAGCUUUUUUCCUUAUUCUAGAGUGCUGUUUUUCAAAACAUAGGUCAUAAAUCAUCAGUGGGUCAUAAAAUCAAUGAGCAGGCACUUUUUCUUUUUAAUGGUAGAUCAAGUAGAAUAAAAAAUAUCUGAUUGCAACACACAAAGUAAGUUUUGUGAAACAUUUCGGUUGUCUGUGUGCGUGUGUGUGUGUGCUCGUGUGUGUGUGCGUGUGUGUGUGUGCGUGUGUGUGUGCGUGUGUGUGUGCGUGUGUGUGUGCAUGUGUGUGUGCUUGUGCUGGGAGAUGAGGCAGAGAGUCUUUUUUACUGUGGAUAGUUGUCAAUAAAAGGGUAAAAAAUGAUCCUUGUGAGACAUUAGGUGGGACUUCUAGAAAUGUGGGGACACAUUUUAUGUUAUGGAUUGAAAUGUCCCCCAAAAACAUAUAUUAAAAUCUUAAGCCCAGGUACCUG